GACGAACGCUGGCGGCGUGCCUAAUACAUGCAAGUUGAGCGAUGAAGAUUGGUGCUUGCACCAAUUUGAAGAGCAGCGAACGGGUGAGUAACGCGUGGGGAAUCUGCCUUUGGGCGGGGGACAACAUUUGGAAACGAAUGCUAAUACCGCAUAAUAACUUUAAACAUAAGUUUUAAGUUUGAAAGAUGCAAUUGCAUCACUCAAAGAUGAUCCCGCGUUGUAUUAGCUAGUUGGUGAGGUAAAGGCUCACCAAGGCGAUGAUACAUAGCCGACCUGAGAGGGUGAUCGGCCACAUUGGGACUGAGAACAGGCCCAAAACCCUACGGGAGGGAGCAGUAGGGAAUCUUCGGAAAUGGAGGAAAGUCUGACCGAGGAACGCCGCGUGAGGGAAGAAGGUUUUCGGAUCGUAAAACUCUGUUGGUAGAGAAGAACGUUGGUGAGAGUGGAAAGCUCAUCAAGUGACGGUAACUACACAGAAAGGGACGGCUAACUACGUG
rnacentral:rRNA from 1 species